UGAGCGGAGAGCGGCGGGGCCUCGCGUCUCUGAUUGGUGAGGAUCCGCGUCAUUUCGAACCGGCCUGCUCUGGGCGCCGGGAACCCGCCCCUGCCUCUCAUUGGUCAAAAGUCGCUUUGCCCCUUCUCUGUGACUGGAUGGGGCUUGUGUCCGUCGGAGCAGUUCAGCGGGACAGGCCGUGACCUUACCUCUCGUUGUGAUUGGCCUACCGCUCUCCCGUCCCGCCCUACCAAUGUGAUAGGCUGAGCCGCACGUCCCUCCGGGAUAAGCGCGGGAUGCCGCCGGACCCUGGCCCUUCGCCCUCAUUGGUUGAUGAAAAUCUCCUUAUCGAUCUGAUUGGAUGGAGCAACACUGAAAAGUUUGGUUUGGAAACAGGAUCAUAAGAAAGUAGAGCCGGAAAGGACCUCGCAAGGUUAUUCAGCCCAACUCCCUGCUCAAAGGCAGGAUUAAACCAUCCAGCCAAGUGUGGGUCCAACCUGAUAUUGGAAAUUUCCAAGGAAGGAGAUGUCACAACUUCUCUCAGGAUCCUGCUCCAAUGCUUGCACACCCUCAUGGUCAGAAAGUUCUUUGGAUUCUCCAGCCUCAAUUUGCUCUGCUGCAGCUUGAGGCCACCGCUCCUAGUCCUGUCUCCUAAAGCCACAGGCUAGGUGUGGGCCUUCAGUUGCUGACUACUGGACUAAGGUGUUUCUUAGACUGCUUUGGGUUUGUGGAUGAAGAUGUACUGUUUUAAAUAAGCUUAGCUAAAUCUUACUGGACUGUGACAUUUGUAACUUCUCCAUCCUCUCACCCUUCAUGGAUUUGAAGACUGGUAUCAAAUCCCGCUUCAGUCUUCUCCUCUCCAGACUAAAUAGGCUCAGUUUUUUUGCCUUUCCUUGUAAGUCUUGCUGCUCAAGCCUCUUAUUAUUUUUGUUGCCCUGUGCUGGACUCUCCAGUCUGCCCACAUUUUGCAGGAAGUUUUCUCAGGUCAAGAGAGUUCCCCUUUAAACCAGUGGUUUUCAACCUGUGGUCCGCAGACCCCUGGGGGUCCCCAGGCUAUGUCUAAGGGGUCCAUGAAAAGGGGAUCAAUCAAAAGUAUGUGAAUACCCCCCACUUACAAUUCAAAAAGGUCCACACCUCCAGGUGAAAUUUUUUAGGGGUCCACAAAUGAAAAAAAGGUUGAAAACCACCGUCUUAGACUGCUCUGGGUUUAUGGUUGAACAUAUGCUGUUUUAAACUUGCUUAGCUAAAAGUUGGCAAACUUGCAUUUGUAACUCGAAUGAGGGGUGAGGUCAUGUGACAAGUGUGUGGGGAGGGUGUGGGGAAAGGGAAACCAUAGUGUGGAAAAUUACAGAGACAGUCCACAUGAUCGCUACAGAGUAUAAAAAGUCCCGAGGUACCAGGAUGAUCCGCAAUCCAUCAAAGGAGCUGCUGGAGUUUGCACCUUGAAUUCCCCAGCUGCCCGGUGAGGACUGCCUAUCCAAACUGGGACAGUACAGCUGACAGGUAAUCAGGGAAUUGCUUAUGGUUUGUAAUUAAGUCUCAUGUUAGAAUUUGCUGUAAUAAACUGUUUAGCUUUAA